CCUACGGGAGGCUGCAGUGGGGAAUAUUGCACAAUGGGGGAAACCCUGAUGCAGCGACGCCGCGUGAAGGAAGAAGUAUUUCGGUAUGUAAACUUCUAUCAGCAGGGAAGAAAAUGACGGUACCUGACUAAGAAGCCCCGGCCAACUACGUGCCAGCAGCCGCGGUAAUACGUAGGGGGCAAGCGUUAUCCGGAUUUACUGGGUGUAAAGGGAGCGUAGGCGGGGAGGCAAGUCAGAAGUGAAAGCCCGGGGCUCAACUUCGGGACUGCCUUUGAAACUGUGUUGCUAGAUUGCAGGAGAGGUAGGCGGAAUUCCUAGUGUAGCGGUGAAAUGCGUAGAUAUUAGGAGGAACACCGGUGGCGAAGGCGGCUUACUGGACUGUAAAUGACGCUGAGGCUCGAAAGCGUGGGGAGCAAACAGGAUUAGAUACCCCAGUAGUC
rnacentral:rRNA from 1 species